GGUGGUGCAUGGUUGUCGUCAGCUCGUGUCGUGAGAUGUUGGGUUAAGUCCCGCAACGAGCGCAACCCUUAUUGUUAGUUGCCAUCAUUUAGUUGGGCACUCUAGCGAGACUGCCGGUGACAAACCGGAGGAAGGUGGGGAUGACGUCAAAUCAUCAUGCCCCUUAUGACCUGGGCUACACACGUGCUACAAUGGGAAGUACAACGAGUUGCGAAGUCGCGAGGCUAAGCUAAUCUCUUAAAGCUUCUCUCAGUUCGGAUUGUAGGCUGCAACUCGCCUACAUGAAGCCGGAAUCGCUAGUAAUCGCGGAUCAGCACGCCGCGGUGAAUACGUUCCCGGGUCUUGUACACACC
rnacentral:rRNA from 1 species